CUCGUCGCGUAACGCAGAUGUUCUUUAACUUGGCAUUCAUGACAAUACGCAUAUCGGGUGUCAAGUGUUUCCAAAACUCAGUUGGCUGCAUAAUUAUGGCUGCUUACAGAGCGAGAAUAAAAGAAUUCGAUGACCUAUUAAAUUCCGAAGAAAUAGAUCUGAAAACAUUAAGGAAGCUCUGUUUUAAUGGAGUUCCAGAUGAACAGGGCAGAAGGGCAUUGUGCUGGAAGCUUCUGCUCAAUUACUUACCACCAACUCAUUGUACAUGGAGUGAAACCUUAAGUAGGAAGAGAGAAUUGUACAGACAAUUUAUUGAGGAAAUGAUUGUGAUGCCAGGAGUUGCAGAUGACGAUGACUCAUGUCGAACUGAUGUUACAUUGACAGAUCAUCCUCUGAAUUUAAAUCCUGACAGCAAGUGGCAAACUUUUUUCAAGGAUAAUGAAGUUCUCUUGCAAAUAGACAAAGAUGUUAGGAGGCUAUGUCCUGAUAUAUCAUUUUUCCAACAAGCCACUGAUUUUCCAUGUCAGCAAGUAGUUCAUAGUAAAGGCGUAAAACGCCUUCAUAGAAGAGUUCAACAUACAGUGUUGAAAUCUGCAAAUGUGGAGAGGAAAGGCCUUGGAAUUACAAAGAUAGCACUCUCCAUUAAAAAAGCGCCAGAAGAUUAUGCACCAAUGGCAGAAGGCAUGGAAGCUCACUGGGAAGUAGUGGAGCGUAUACUGUUUUUAUAUGCUAAGUUGAAUCCUGGCCAAGGUUAUGUUCAAGGAAUGAAUGAAAUCAUUGGCCCUAUUUACUAUGCAUUUGCUUCCAACCCAGAUGCUGAAUGGAGAGAAUUUGCAGAAGCUGAUUGCUUUUUCUGCUUCACAAAUUUAAUGGGAGAAAUAAGAGACUUCUUCAUCAAAUCCCUUGAUGAAGCAGAAUGUGGUAUAAGUGGUAUGAUGGCACGCCUUGGUGAACAACUUCGUAAGAGUGAUCUGCAAGUGUGGCUCCGUCUCCAGCAGCUGGAAUUGCGGCCACAAUAUUACAGUUUUAGGUGGCUGACACUACUUUUGUCUCAAGAAUUUCCUUUGCCAGAUGUCCUUAGGAUUUGGGACUCUCUAUUUGCUGAUGAGCAUCGCUUUGAUUUUCUUAUCUACAUUUGUUGCUCAAUGAUUAUAUUACUUCGUGAGGAACUAUUGACUGGUGAUUUUCCUUCAAAUGUGAAAUUACUCCAGAACUUUCCAUCAAUGGAUAUCCAAGUUGUACUGUCCAAGGCAGCAGAACUAGGUGGACUGAAAGCUUCAUGAAUUUUAUUUUGGACUGCAGAGUUGGAUAAAAACAGAAUGUCCCGAAGGCAGCACAGUGUGACAAAGUUCUCAGGGUCUUCAAGAGACUUAUAGGUGAUCUACUCCCCCUUGUGGGACCUAAAAAGGGGAGGCAAUAUUUCUUCCAUGAACUCUUCCAUGCUCGUGGUAACAUUCUCAUUUGCUAUUUUGGAGCAGUGGCAUUUAAGUGGACACUUCUCAUAUACAAAGCUGUAUAGCUUUAAAGUGCUGUGAAAAAAUUCUUUUCUCAUUUUUUGUACAGCAAUAAUAUAUUUUUGUACCAAACUUACAGACAUUUUAAUGAAAAACUGGUGUUGUUAGAGAUGUUGUUUUUGGUACUGGUUUAAGUUUAUGGUUGACUGUUAUGGUUGAAUGUUACUUAAUUCUAUUGUUAAUGUUGUAAAGAGCUCAAUGUGCAGCCUCAGAUGUUAUUACAUAAAAUCCUAUGUAAAAUAUUUUGACAAGUUAUAUUUUGUGAAAUAUUGAAUUAUAUAACAUCACAGUAAGCUGCUGAGGUGUAGAGAUUUAUAUUGUGUGUUUUUGCACAAGGUGUAUCUGUAUCUUAUUGAUUACCAUGUUGUACAUCAUACUUGAACAUUUUGCAUUCUUUUUUCUUCAGUAAAUGAAUAUGUUGUGUCUUUGAAGAUUUAUGAAAGUUCUCAUUGCAUAAAUAUAUGUUUUGAACAUGAGACAGAACUCACACAAAAUGGGGGGGAGUCUUUUGUCCUGGCUUUAUAACUGAAAGCUGACAGAAUUUUUUUUGGGAACAAGGUUCUUUAUUAGGCAUGAUAAUAUACAAUAACAUCUCCGUGUACAUCAAUAACACCUUCUAAAGCUCCACUUAUCUUACACCAUACAUUCAGUCUCUCUUCUGCGUUAAUCUUCCUCCUUUUCCUCGUGUACAAAGAGAAUGGUUAAUAGUUCUUCCAUUUUGUAAAUAAUGGCAAGAAAUUUGUGUUAGCUUUAAAGUAUAUGAAAAUUGAGCACAUUUCUUUUACAAGGUGCUGCCUAAAGAUACUGCAUUCUUUGUAUAUCACAUUUGCUACAUAGUUCUGCUGAAAACUGUCCAACAGUUUACACAGCUAUUUGACUACUGCCCUCCCCACACCUCGAAUAAAUAACUAAAUAAACAAACAAAUGAAAUAUUGGAGCCUGGAAAAAUUGUGAAGAAGAUUGAGGCUUUACUACAUUUUCAUGUUAAAAGCUGGUAUCUGGGCAAAUCACAUUAGAUUUCAGGUUGGGAUUCUGUCUGACUGUGUGUGCGUGUGUGUGUGUGUGUGUGUGUUUUUUUUUUUUUUUUUUUUUUAAUAAGGAGGGGGAGGGGGGAGAGAGAGAGAGAGAGAGAGAGAGAGAGAGAGAGAGAGAAAUGAGUUUUGUUCAAAAGUAUCACUCCUUUACUUUGAUGCUUGUGAUAUUCAUUGUUGACCUCAUGAUUAUAAGUAAAAGUUUAUGACAAUCCUUUUUCACUAUUUCUUUACUUACAUUUAUGGAAGAAUGUGAAUUCAGAUUGAGCAUAGUUUUGGAAGAUUGUAUGAUUGAUUAUUUAAGGUAGCGCGUAUCUAUGUUUGUGUAUGAUGUGUCCAAAGAAGAGACAUCUGCUAUAUUUCACUGCUGAAACUGCAGAUUAUAAUGAUGCUCAUUUGUUCCACUGGGUUCAGAUAUGUUUGCAGUAAGAGUUCCAUUUAGUGCAAAAGAUUGUACAAAGGUUAGACUAGUGUCUGUAAGGAAGAAUGGGUCAUACCAUCAUGCAAUAUGGUUCAAAGUCUUUCAUUUCUAAUGUCUUAAACUGUUAGUUGUUAAAUACUUCAAGUUUCCGAAUGCUGAUGAAUUGCUGUUUGUUCAGCAAAUAAAUUCUUAUCUAAAUUUUUGACUUGUUGAGAAACUGAGUUAGUUUUGUACUGUGAGAAAUUGUAAAACUGAUGUUUUUCACUAUUCAUAUACUGUGCAUCAAAGUUAUGACAAAAAACAGUUCAUGAUUUUUUUUAGUGUGUGAUCAUAAGUAGAACACAGUUGAUGAAAUAUUCCUCUUUCUCUUCUGAGGUUUACAGGUUUAUUACGCCAAUAAAAAAAUAAUUUUACAUUGCAUUCAAGCCAUAUUAUUAUACUGAGCAAAUGUUGUCAUUUUUUGUAAUGUUUUGUAUCCAGGAAGUUCAU